rnacentral:misc_RNA from 1 species
GGAAGAUAGAAAUAAGUGUGGUAUUAAACCACUAAAAUCAUCUCAGGAACUGCAAAGAGUUGCUUGAAAUGGAAUACUGAGUUUAUCUCCAUACAUAACACAUAAUUUUGUAGGUUGCUGGGCCAAUUGUCUUCCGAGUUGAUUCAAGAUUUUCGCUUGAUUCUGCAUCAGGUCAACUAGGGCCACAUGCAGAGGAUCUCAUUUACACUUUUGAGUUACUCGCUGAGACUCCUACGCUCUGGCAAGGUUGUUUCUUGGUAUUCUCAUAGGCAUUUAUGUCUGAGAA